rnacentral:lncRNA from 1 species
GGGGCCUCUUAGGGGAUUCAAGGUAUGGACUCGGAAACCUAGACUGAAAAUGAUAAAUUUGGUCUUGUGAUUGUUAAGUACAAUAGCCUUCCAAUUAAUCUUCUAUACAUUCCUGGAUCAUCAAUCAACUCACCUUGAUCUUUAGUUAGCUUUAGAUUUUGCAACAUAGGGCAUUUUGCAAGCUUCGCUCCUAAAUAACCUGCGUCCUCAAGAAUUUCUAAUGCAUAUUUACGUUGACAUACAGCAAUUCCCUUUGAUGACCUUGCAACUUCAAGUCCUAGAAAAUAUUUCAAAACUCGUAAAUCCUUUAAUUUGAACUAUUCACCAAGACUUCUUUUGAACUGCUCAAUAUAGGUAAAGUCAUUUCCACUUAUGAUAAUAUCAUCAACAUACACCAGUAGUACGGUAUACGAGCAGCCAGUCCUUUUGCUAAAAAGGGAAUAAUCUGAUUUUGAUUGAACACACCCUUCAGAAGCAAUAAAUGAUGAUAGUUUGGUAUUCUAUUGCCUAGAGGCCUGUUUAAGUCCAUAAAUGGACUUGUUGAGUUUGCACACCAAUGUGACUCCAUUCUCCCCCUGCUGGUCAUAUCCCGAAGGCAUUUUCAUAAACACUUCUUCAUCUAGGUCCCCAUGAAGAAAGGCAUUGUUGAUGUCUAACUGGUGAAGGUACCAAUUUUUGCAUGCCGCAACUGCCAACAGAGCCUUGAUUGAGGAUAACUUUGCAACAGGAGAAAAUGUCUCUUGAUAAUCUAGACCAGCCUACUGGGUGAAUCCCCUUGCCACCAACCUUGCUUUCUUCUUUUCUUCACUUUCAUCUUACUUUAGUUUGACCUUAUAGACCCACUUGCAGUCUACAGGUUUAUUGUUUGUUGGGAGGGAAGUGAUGGUCCAGGUGUUAUUGUUAACUAGAGCCCGAUAUUCAUCAUCCAUAGCUUGGCACCAUGCUGGAGAUUGUGAUGCUUCAAAAAUAUUUCUUGGCUCAACAUUAGUAGACAGUGAUAACACAUAAGCCCUGUGAGCUGGUGAAAGUAAAUCAUAACCCAAGGUGUUAGAUAAUGCAUGUAAUUUGCCAGUAUUAUGAGAGGAAAGUGAAGAAGCAAACUCUUGCUGAGAGAUUAGGUUGUAAUGAAAUUGCUGGAGGUAGCUGGGAGGUUUUCUGUUUCUGGUAGAUAUGCGGAGAAGAAUGUUAGGUGAAGGCUGUGAAGACGGUGAAGUGAUGACAGGGGACACAGAGGGUGGAGAUAAUGAUACAUUGUUAUGUGAUGGAUUUGGAGAUGAAGAUAAAUGUUAAGGCAAAGAAGUGUUAUUGUGUGAUGAUGAAGAAGGUGUAGGGGAUAAGAGUUCUGAUAUAGGAUGAGAGGAAAGGAGAAAUAGAG